rnacentral:rRNA from 1 species
UACGAAGGGGGCUAGCGUUGCUCGGAAUGACUGGGCGUAAAGGGCGCGUAGGCGGUUUGGACAGUCAGAUGUGAAAUUCCUGGGCUCAACCUGGGGGCUGCAUUUGAUACGUUCGGACUAGAGUGGGGAAGAGGGUCGUGGAAUUCCCAGUGUAGAGGUGAAAUUCGUAGAUAUUGGGAAGAACACCAGUGGCGAAGGCGACACACUGGGCCAUUACUGACGCUGAGGCGCGAAAGCGUGGGGAGCAAACAGG